UCCCGUUUACAAGUCCCCACCACCUCCAACUCCUGUUUACAAGUCGCCACCACCACCUAAGACGCCACACUACCCUCCACAUACCCCAGUUUAUAAGUCUCCUCCUCCACGCCAUCAUCACCCCGUUUACAAGUCUCCACCACCUCCAACUCCUGUUUACAAAUCACCACCACCACCCAAGGACCCACACUACCCUCCACACACCCCAAUUUACAAGUCACCACCACCACCCAAAGAACCACACUACCCACCACAUACCCCAGUGUACAAGUCUCCACCACCACCAACUCCAGUAUACAAGUCACCACCACCACCCAAGAGGCCAUACCAUCCUCCACCAACACCAUAUCAUCCCACACCAGUUUAUAAGUCUCCACCACCACCAACUCCAGUGUACAAGUCACCACCACCCCCAACUCCCGUUUACAAAUCACCACCACCACCAGUGAAGCCAUACCAUCCCGCACCAGUAUACAAGUCUCCACCACCCCCAACUCCCAUUUACAAAUCACCACCACCACCAGUGAAGCCAUACCAUCCUAAACCUGUGUACAAGUCUCCACCACCACCAGUGAAGCCAUAUCAUCCUACACCCGUCUACAAGUCUCCACCACCACCAACUCCCGUCUACAAGUCACCACCACCACCAGUGAAGCCAUACCAUCCUACACCCGUCUACAAGUCUCCACCACCACCAACUCCCGUCUACAAGUCGCCACCACCACCAGUGAAGCCAUACCAUCCUACACCCGUAUACAAGUCUCCACCACCACCAACUCCCGUUUACAAGUCACCACCACCACCAGUGAAGCCAUAUCAUCCCUCACCAACACCAUACCACCCUACACCAGUAUACAAGUCUCCACCACCACCAACUCCCGUUUACAAGUCCCCACCACCACCAGUAAAGCCAUACCACCCUUCACCAACACCAUACCAUCCUAAACCAGUAUACAAGUCUCCACCACCACCAACUCCAGUCUACAAGUCUCCACCACCAACCCACUAUGUUUACUCCUCUCCCCCUCCUCCCUACCAUUACUAAGAAGUGAGUUUACUAUAUCUGAGGUAAUUAAGAUGAACUUAAACCUUUACAAACAUAUAUAACUAAAAUGCAAUGCAAUAAUAAGUUGCACAAUUAUUUCUUCUCUUUUGGUUAGUUUCUUUUAUAUGUUCUCAUUCACAAUAUUAUAUUGUUAUGCAGGAAAAGCAUAAUGUUGAGCUGAAAGAAAGGCAUUUUCCAUUUUCAAGAAGAAAAUUAUAGUAAAUAAUAAGGCUUACAGAAGAUCAGACGAAGUUCUUUUGUAGCUUCAUGUUAUCUAACUUGUCUUAGUGAUAUAUUGUUUUUGUACUCUAUUUUUAUAUAUUACUUUUAUGUGUCUUUGUGUAUGUUUGCUCACUUUCAAUCUUCUUGCAAAAUGCAGAGAUUAAUUAUGAGAUUAUCAUGAAUAAAAUAAGUUAUUACUACUCCCAUAUGUUUUAAUUAACUUCUCAUCACAAUAUAUAUUACCUUUGUUUUCAUUUUAUCAUGUGCUCAUAUUUAAUUUAUAAAAUUAUAAUGUGAACACAACAUUUACAAUUUUUUUCAAAUAGAACUAUUUAUAUAUAUAUAUAUAUAUAUAUAUAUAUAUAUAUAUAUAUAUAACAGGAUGCUCAAAUUAAUAACCAACGAAUUUCAUGUACUUAUGGUUAUAAUUCAAUCAAAUUCGAGUAUUGUAGUCCAUUUACGAUAACAAAAUAAAAAAAUUAUUUAAUAAUCACAUAAUACGUUGUUAAACUUUUGUAAAGUAUAUGAUUUCAGAAGCUCAAACAAAAAAUUACAAUCCAAAUAUUUUAAAAAUAAUAGUUUAAAAUUUUCACGCAUCACAUAAAUAUAUAUACUUACUCCAAGCCUAUCCUAUCCGAAAUUUUCAGCUAUUGAUGUAGCCUCUUGUCGAUACUACUAGUCUUCUCGCUACCUACUAGAAAAAUUCCAUCAAAAUAGAUUGAAUCGACGACCUAUACUUCAACUAAAGGCACGAGGGCGUAGCGAGCUUAACUAUUAUCGUAAUAUAAGAUGAAAUCCACCCAUUUUGAUAUCACAUACACGUCUUUAAAACUGAUAAAAUAAUGAGGUCUACUCUUAGUCAAAAUUAAAUGAUUGUAGACCACAUCUACAGUUCCCAAUUGUCAACAAUUCGAUCCUCCGCGUUUGUGGUAGGUUUCACUUUCAUUUCUUCGGUUCGAUUUUAUCAAAUUUUAAUUUGAUUCUUUAAUUUUUAAUUUUGGAAAAAUGUGUAUGGAAUGUUGAAUCGAAUUAAUUUGUUUAAUUAUCUUUUUAAAAAAUUAGUUUAAAACAAAAAUUGAAUUUCAAUAAAAUUUAAUGAAAAAAUUAUUCAAAUUGAUUAGGUAACCUUUUAAGUCAAAUAUCAAUAGUUGAAUAAUUUUAUAGGUAAAAUAUUCAUAAUUGAGUGACUUUGAGAUCAUACAAGAAAAUUGAGUGACUUUAUAAGAGAAAAAAUCUUAGUUAAAAUAAUUUUUUAUGAGAAAAAAUUCUUAAGUAACUUUAUGGCAUUAUAAAAAAAAAUUAACUCCUCUUUAAAUUAGAAUUACAAAAUUAAAAGUAAGUUCCAUUUUAAAGAUAAGGACAUUAUUAGUAAAAAUAAUUGGUGAACAUUUUCCAAUGAAAAAAUAAUAUUUUUCUAAAAUAGCUAAUAGAUGAUAAUUCGUUUCUUAGGCGUAAAAAUGUUAGGACAUGUUAGCCUCACUCAGUUGAAUAAAUUGCUCACCAAGAACAUAAUCAUUGAAUAUCCUAAAACAAAGUUUAAAAAUGAAUUAAAAAAAAAAUCAGUAAUAAAAAAAUACAUGCAAACUAUCUACAAAUGUAUUAUUAUUAAUUUUUAAAUAAAAAAGAGUAAAUGAAAGAGAAUAGAAGAUCUUUGACUUGUUAAUUAAGACAAAUAUUUGUCUAAUAUAAGUAUGUCGGUAAUAACAAUGUAGACUAAGAUCUGUACUUGUUUAUAUAUCCAUAUCCCUUAAUGUUAGGACCAUUAAAAUUAUUAAUUUAGUUUAACUAAUUAAUGGGAUCUUAUAAAUACAUUAAUAAUAUUACUGUUGUCGGUGAUUAAGUUAAUGCUAAUACUUAAUUGUUUUUUUUUUCCAAUUAAAAUGUCAAAGUCGUUAGAUGAACCAAAAUGGAAUCGUCCAUGAAGAUGGUACCAGAGUACAAUUAUUGAAUAAUAUCUUUUUUUUUUAACUUCAAAAAUUAAAGUGGAAUUCAAUUACCUACUUUAUAAAUGUAUGGCAACUUGGCAAUAAUUCAUUAAAUUUCAGGAAGAACAAAAACCAUCGAUAAUUGAGAUUAAUUUAAGAGAUAAAUGUCAAAAACACAUUUAAUAUAUUACAUAUUUUAAAAAAAUUCAUACUUCACCCCGUCUCUUUUCGAAAAAAUUGAUAUUAUUUUAUUUUUUUAAAAAUAGGAAUUCUAUCCAUCCUAUAUAACCUCCUGUACCUAAUUUUUUUAUAUAUAUUUUUGUGAGUUUGUAUUAGAUAUGUACAUAUAUUUUUAGGAAUUCUUUCUACUUGUGUACCAAAUAUAAAGUAAAUAAAACAUUUAUUUUUUAAAAAAGUCUUGAGGCCGUGGCAAAUAAAAAUUAUUUUCAAUAUGUUUAUAUCUAACACAAAAGGAGAAAAAGUUCGAAAGCGGACGGUUAGGUGGGGUAGGUAUAUUUUUUUUAAAGCAAAUUAGUAUAUAUAUUUUUUUGUGUGUGUGGGGUUGGGGGGGGGGGGGGGGUAAAAAAAAGUUAAAUACCUUUACAAAAGAAAUUUAAACAAAAAAAACUAAAAAAAAAAAGGGUGGGGGGAGGGUUGGACGGUUAGAGAAAGUGAUGGAGUGGGUAGGGAGGCGAGCAAAAUUGGGAGGGAGACGAGCAAACUUUGUACGUAUCGUAACCCAGAACAUGUGAAUCAAGCAAGAUACACACUAGGUACAUGUAUUUGUACGUGUCUAGAGGAAUUCACAUAUAUCUGGGAUAUCAUAUUCUUGGAAGAAUGACGAGCAAAAUGGAACAGAGGCAAGGAAGGAAAACGAGAUAUACUAUGUAUCCCAAAUACAUGCGAAUUCAAUAAAUAUAAUGUAUCUAGAACAAAUUACACCUAAAUUUGAUCGAGAUAUUCGAGAUACAUGUAUCUCAAGGCACCAAAAUCUGAUUUUUAUAUAUAUAUAUAUAUAUAUGAAAGUUUAUGUGAUCGAUAAAACUAAUAGCUUAGUAUUUCAAUGGUAUCAUUUCUACACAAAAUAGUUCUACCUCAAUUUAUGACAAAAAUGAUUUUAUUUAUAUGAGAUCAAAUUUAUAGGGUUUCGAUGACCAUGAUAAAACAGGAGAAUGUACAAAAAUACUUAAGUCCUUGUUUAUAAUAUACCAUUUUGCCAAAAUAUUUGUAGCUCGAUUAACUUUCUUAUAGAAAUGUUGAACCUUUCAAAUAAUAGUGCUUGAUAUAAUGAUAUAUUGUAAAUAUGAAAAGUGAUGUUUUUCAUUUUCCAAAGAAUACCACUAAAAUAGUUCUUUCUAACAUCAUGUAUAAAUUUUUAUGCAAGUAAAACAUUUUAAAUAAUAAUCUACGAAACUUGUUAUUUGAUCCUCAUAGAUAUUAUAACAUUUAGUUUUAGUGCUUAUGAAAAUAAUUUUGUUAGAACAAUAUUUCCAUUAUACGUAUAAAAAGUUCACAUUGUUCUUUGUUUUUAAAGAUACAAUAUCCUAAUUAUUUCAUUGUUAUUCCAUCUCUAUUAUUCAUUGAGCAUAAUUUGAAUAAUUUAUUUUUAUCAUAUUAUUACCAAUAUAAUCAUAGAAAGUCAAAUAAGAAAACUAAUUUUCCUUGUUACUAUUUCUUUGAUUAAUUGGAAUUAGAGACGACUAGUUAUUAUUAUGAGCAACUUUCACAUAUAGCAAACAAAAAAUUUAUAUUUGUAUGCUAAUUAAGCUCCAUAGCAAACAUAAAACUGUAUAAUUUGCUAUACAUAUACAAUUGUAUAAUUCGCUGGCCUAUUUCGCUGCAAUAGUAUAAUUUGUUUUGCAUACAGUUGAAUCGAAUUAAAAUGUAUGUAUAUUGCAUAAUUAUAAGUGUAUAGCAAGAAGAUAUAUGUUUUUCUCGCUUUAUACAAAAACAGAAACACAAUAUAUACACUUUUGUUGUAUAAAGCUAGAGAAAAUUGUAUUUCACUGCAAUUGUAUAAUUCGCAAUUGUAUAAUUCGUUGGCCUUUUUCUCUGCAAUAUUUGAAGUAAAAUGUUUGCAAAUUGUGUAAUUAAGUGUAUAACAUGAAGAUAUACAUUUUUGCAUGUGUAUAUACAAUUUUCUCUCGCUUUAUACAAAACAGAAACAGAAUUAUACACUUCUGUGUAUAAAGCGGGAGAGGCGAGCGAGAAUGGAGAGUGGCGAGCGAGAUUUUUGGGAGAGAGACGCUGGCAAAUUUUAGCUAAUGUUUGCUAUGGAGCAAAAUUAAAUCAAAUCCUAGCUAUUCCAUUUAAUUUAGGUUAUUAGUUUGCUAUUAUAUACAAUUUUUUCUAUUAUUAUUAAUCGGAUGCAUUUCACUCCGCACAUAAAUAACUUCCAAUAAUUUAAUAUUAAUUAUAUAUGCUCUAUUAAAUAAUUUUUAAAUAUAAAAUAAUAUUAUGGUAGAUUUGGGGGUGUCAAAAUCAAGUCAAUUUGUCAAACUCCCCUAUUCCAUUUAAUUUAUCAACUUUAACUCAUCUCAACCUAAUUUAGUUUAAUUCAUAUUUAAACAGUGAAUUGAUAUAUAAUUCAAAUUAGCUUAUCAAAAUAUUUUUAAAAUAAUAUUUUUAAAAUUUGAUAUGUUAUAUAUAGUCGUAAUAAAGAAAAAAAUAAACUUAUUAGGUGCUAAAAAAUUUUAAAAAGAGCAAACUAAACAACUAAAUUUUAGUAAAAAUUGAAGGGGUUAUAUUAGAAAUCGAAUUUAACUUAAUUAUGUCCAAUUCAUUUCAAUUCAAAUAGACAAUAGCUAAUGAUCCAUUCAUUUGUUAACUCAUUAAAAUUCAAUCGGUUCAAAUUCAGGUCAACUCUCCUAUACCAAACUUCUAGUAGAUCUUAAUCAAUAAAAAUUUGGACACGAAAACAAUUCAUUCAUUUCAUCCAUCAAAUUAUUAAUAAGUGACACCAUCUUAGCGACCCAGUUCAUUGUAUUAUAUUAAGAAAAAAUAACUUAAAUACACAAUUAUAAGUUUUAUAUUUUCUAAUUUUCCCUUCUUUUUUUUAAAUAUUACAUAAUUUCCUUUUUUUAAAAUUUUAGUGUAAGUUUAUAGAUACAUUACAUUCUCUCUCCUAUAGUACACAAUUACCCAUUUUAAUGCCUAUUUAUUCUCCAUUAAAACACUCAACCUUUUAAAUAAAAGACCUAAUUUUGAAUUUCAAAAUUCAAAAAAUUUCAAAUUUCAAAAAUCAGGUUCUCCCGUUUUUCUUACUCCAUCAAGUUUCACUUCCUUUUUUUCCAUAAUCAUCUUCCUUCUUCUUAACCUAGCAGAAUUUAUUGGUUUCUUCUUUUUAUUCUUAAUCCAUCAUCUUUUUCUUCUUAAUCUGUAAUCGUCUUAACCCAAUAUCUUUUUAUUAUUAAUCCAUCAUCAGUUCGUCUUUUCUUCUCUUUUUUCUUUUUGUUAAUUGUUCUAUUACAUUAUAGUAAUGGAUCCGUUAAUUAAUAGAAGGAUAUAUGAUUCCGACGAUGAAAAUUGGAAAGAAAAUAGGAAAAAGUUUUUGCAUGAUCCUAUGAAUCUUCAGAAGGAUUCAAACAAAGACUCUGGCGAAACAUCAAAAUCAAAGGUUAUCAAAAUACAACAAAAAAAGAAAAAAGAAGCAGCAAACAUUGUUGUUAGGCCUACAUUGUCUCGGGUUAGUAUUUUGGUACUUAAAACUGUUGUUGAAAUUAGUAAAAAUUUUAAGGAAUCUAGUGUGCUUGCCGAUACAUUUGAAUAAGUGUGUAUAGUGUUUUAGAGGUGAAUUGAUACAUGAAUUUAUUGUGUAUCAUAAUAUUUUAUAUGUAUCAUGAAGUUUUGAAAAUUGUUAUAAUGUAUCAUUCAAUAAGUUUAGUAAAUACGUCAUCAACUGUGCUUGAUGAUACAUAUAGAAUCAGUGUGUACGGUGUUUAGUCAAUUCACUGAUACAUGUAGGAGAUAUGUAUCACAUGUUUUGCAUAUAGUAUGAAUUUCUGAAAACUGAUAUCAUGUAUCAGUAAGGUAUUAGUUGUUUAGUUGAUGUACUGAUACAUGUUUGAAAAUUGUUAUAAUGUAUCAUUCACUAAGUUUAAUAAAUGCGUCAUCAACUGUACUUGAUGAUACAUAUAGAAUCAGUGUGUAUAUUGUUUAGUCGAUGUUUCUGAUACAUGCAUUAGAUACGAAAUUGAAUCUCCAACAACGAUUCCGUCGAUUUUGUAACUUUCAUACUGCAAUUCGUUCACCUAAAUUCCGGAAUGUCUCAUCAAAAUCGAAGUAUUCAUCUUGAAAAAUCCACUGUAACAACAAUAAAAUUACUGUAGUUCGAAAUUUAACAGAUUGUUCAAAAAAAUUGUUUUCAAAAUAGAUGACAUAAUCUUUGUUUUUCAAAAUUUGAAAUUAAUAUCCAAUUAAGUGCUUAUUUUAUGCUGAUUAAUGAUAUGUUACCGUAAAUUUAGCUGUUUUAUUAACAACAUUAACUGUACCGUUUUCCCCCUUUUUUUUCUCAACAGUUUAAAAUUACCAUGUAUCAUUUACCUUGUAUCACGAGAGUCUAAAGUAUCACGGCUCAACAAAUUUAAGAGAUUUUUUGUAAAUACUAAAUUUGUCUGGACAAAAUGAAAUUAUUGAAUUACACUAUAGGAUUCCUUAAAUUUUUACUUAUAUUAAUCUUUAGUAUGGGGACCUAAAUAUUUAACUUUCCAAUUCCUUUAGGGGUCAAUUUGAUUGAUUAUAAUGAGUGAAUUAUACUAUAAAAAUUGAAAUAAUAAUUAAUGUUUGUAGAGCAUAUUAAAUUAUUUUAUCAUGACUACAGUUGGUGUUAAUUGAAUUGGAAAUAAGAUAUAUACGGUAUAUAAUAUAUAUAGAAAUUUUAAUUUGAUUCGUUGAUUUUGUAUUUUCAGACAAAUUUUAUUUUUAAUUUUACCUUUCUUAAAGAACUUUUAGUUUGGUUGUUUUAUCAUGGAAUUAGCUAAUUAUUAAUCUAGAGAAUUGCUAUUCCAUAUACAACUUUGGUACAAUUAGAGAAUUAUAAUAUAAUUAAUUUCAAAAUUACUUAUAUUUAGGAACAAAAGUUUCAAUCAAACGAUAAAUAAUUGAAUAUUUUAUCUCAGAAUUAGUAUUAUUAUUAUUAAUACUAAUUAACGAUCCUAAGUUUCGAUUUUGUCACUCCGGUCCUUUUCUUUUAAUCUUUUCACAAACCAACUACAUUUGAUUGCAUUAACUAUAAAGUCCAUUUGCAUUAUUUUACAUAUCAAUUAAUAUUACUAAACUAAAUUUAUCUAUAAUUACUGAUUUAAAUGUAUACCUAUUUUCUCACCAACAUGGCAUAUAUAUUAGACUCAUUAAAAUUAAACGUUGCUUCAUGUGGUGUGUUCAAUUGGUUAGACUAUCUCGUCAAAUAUAUUGUUCGCAAAUAAACAAUGCUCAAAUGAAUGAUAUUAAUGUUGUUGGUGAAUAUUACAAGCUUCUCGUAACGUUUUGUUAGCUUACGUAUGAAUGUGCAAUAUUAUUUCUACUUAUUUUGUCAAACACUAAAAAAGUAAGUAAAAAACUUGUUUAUGUGAGAUAAUAUUUUUCUUUGUACCUAAAAAGUGCAUUAAUUUAUAUAGCUAAAAUAGUGCAAAGUUGAGGCCUCCACGCAUUAUUUUUGGUGAGAAGAAGAAUGAGAAGACUUUCUAUCUCUUUGAAUUAUUGCAUCACAAACAGUAUAGCUGCCUUAAUAGUUUAUUCAUUUGCUUAGCUUAAUGCCUCUAUCCAUCAAAUUAAAUAUACAACUAACAAGACAAAACCAAAUGAAAAUGCAUAACUCUAGGAUUUUACCUACAUUUGUAUAAAUUUUGGUAAGGGUAUCUGUCUAAAUGAAAACUAUAUAAAGGGGUUUGAGUGAAGCUUAAGAUGACAACAACUUUCUCCUUUGUUUCGAAUAUGGGGAAAAUGGCCUUUCUAGUUGCCACCCUUUUAGUGGUUUUAGUGUCACUUAGCUUAGCAUCUGAAAUUUCAGCUAAUUAUCAAUACUCAUCUCCCCCACCACCAAAGGAGCCAUACCACCCUUCACCAACACCAUAUCAUCCCACACCAGUUUACAAUUCUCCACCACCACCAAAAGAGCCAUACUACCCUCCACACACUCCAGUGUACAAGUCGCCACCACCCUCGACACCUAUUUACAAGUCGCCACCACCACCCAAAGAGCCAUACUACCCUCCACACACCCCUGCCUACAAGUCACCACCUCCACCAACUCCAGUUUACAGGUCGCCACCACCUCCCAAGGAGCCAUACUAUCCUCCACACACACCAACCUACAAGUCGCCACCUCCACCAACUCCCGUUUACAAGUCACCACCACCUCCAAAGGAACCAUACUACCCUCCACAUGCACCAACCUACAAGUCGCCACCACCUCCCAAGGAGCCAUACUACCCUCCCCACACCCCAACCUACAAGUCCUCACCUCCACCAACUCCGUUUUACAAUUCACCACCACCUCCCAAGGAACCAUACUACCCUCCUCACACACCAACCUACAAGUCGCCACCCCCACACAAGGAUCCAUACUACCCUCCACACACACCAACCUAUAAGUCACCACCUCUACCAACUCCUGUUUACAAGUUGCCACAACCACCCAAGGAGCCAUAUUACCCUCCACACACACCAACCUACAAGUCACCACCUCCACCAACUCCCAUUUACAAGUCACCACCACCUCCCAAGGAGCCAUACUACCCUCCACACACACCAACCUACAAGUUACCACCUCCACCAACUCCCGUUUAUAAGUCGUCGCCACCACCAUCCAAAGAGCCAUACUACCCUCCACACACACCAACCUACAAGUCACCACCUCCACCACCUCCCGUUUAUAAGUCUCCACCACCACCCAAGGAGCCAUACUACCCUCCACACACACCGACCUACAAGUCACCACCUCCACCAACUCCCGUUUACAAGUCCCCACCACCUCCUAAGGAGCCAUACUACCCUCCACACACACCGACCUACAAGUCACCACCUCCACCAACUCCCGUUUACAAGUCCCCACCACCUCCUAAGGAGCCAUACUACCCUCCACACACACCAACCUACAAGUCACAACCUCCACUAACUCCCGUUUAUAAGUCGUCGCCACCACCACCCAAGGAGCCAUACUACCCUCCACACACACUAACCUACAAGUCACCACCUCCACCAACUCCUGUUUAUAAGUCGCCACCACCACCCAAGGAUCCAUACUACCCUCCAAACACCCCAACUUACAAGUCGCCACCUCCACCAACUCUCAUUUACAAGGUUCCACCACCAGCCAAGGAGCCAUACUACCCUCCACACACACCGACCUACAAGUCACCACCUCCACCGACUCCCCUUUAUAAGUCCCCACCACCUCCUAAGGAGCCAUACUACCCUCCACACACACCAACCUACAAGUCACCACCUCCACCAACUCCCGUUUAUAAGUCGUCGCCACCACUACCCAAGGAGCCAUACUACCCUUCACACACACCAACCUACAAGUCACCACCUCCACCAACUCCCGUUUAUAAGUCUCCACCACCAACCAAGGAUCCAUACUACCCUCCACACGCCCCAACCUACAAGUCGCCACCUCCACCACCUCCCACUUACAAGUCGCCACCACCACCAAAGGAGCCAUACUACCCUCCACACACACCAACCUACAAGUCAUCACCUCCACCAACUCUCAUUUAUAAGUUGUUGCCACCACCACCCAAAGAGCCGUACUACCCUCCACACACACCAACCUACAAGUCACCACGUCCACCAACUCCCAUUUAUAAGUCGUCGCCGCCGCCACCCAAGGAGCCAUACUACCCUCCACACACACCAACCUACAAGUCACCACCUCCACCAACUCCCGUUUAUAAGUCGCCACCACCACCCAAGGAUCCAUACUACCCUCCACACACCCCAACCUACAAGUCGCCACCUCCACCAACUCCCGUUUACAAGUCGCCACCACCACCCAAGGAGCCAUACUACCCUCCUCACACACCAACCUAUAAGUCACCACCUCCACCAAGUCCCGUUUACAAGUCGCCACCACCACCCAAGGAUCCAUACUAUCCUCCACACACCCCAACCUACAAGUCGCCACCUCCACCAACUCCCGUUUACAAGUCGCCACCACCACCCAAGGAGCCAUACUACCCUCCUCACACACCAACCUAUAAGUCACCACCUCCACCAAGUCCCGUUUACAAGUCGCCACCACCACCCAAGGAGCCAGACUACCCUCCACACACCCCAUCCUACAAGUUACCACCUCCACCAAUUCCCAUUUACAAGUCGCCACCACCACCAACUCCUGCCUACAACUCUCCUCCACCACCUUACUAUCUUUACACCUCUCCCCCUCCUCCCUACCAUUACUAAAAAGCCACUUCAUUAUAUCGAGGUAAUUAAGACAAACUAAAACUAUUACUAAUGAUGUGUCUAAAAUGCAAAGCAAUAAGUUGCUCAAUUUCCUCAUGCAAAUCAUUAAUAUAUAGACCUAUGCAGUCUAUAUUCUUAUUUGGAUAACUUUAAUUACAUGUUCUCAUUCACAAAAUUAUAUUCUUAUGCAGGAAAAGCAAAAUGUUGAGCUUAAAGAAAGGCAUUUUACAUUUUCGAGAGACGAUGAAAAAAGAAGAAAACUAUAGUAAAUAAUAAGCCCCACAUAAGUCGAAGUUCUUUUGUAGCUUCAUGUUAUCUAAGCUAGUGAUACUGUUUGUACUCUAUUAUUUAUAUUUGUAUUUUUACUUUUAUGUCUUUCUGUAUGUUUGCUCAGUUUUAAUAUCCUAGCAAAAUGCAAAGAUUAAUUAUGAGAUGAAUAAAAUAAGUUAUUACUAUUAUACAGUUUUAUGUUUUCCUUCUCUCUGAUCUAUUCGAUCUUAAUUAGUCCUUUUUUUGGUCUUAUUUCUUCAUCUUUAUAUCGAAGGCGAGGCUCAACGAUUACAUUAAAUCAAUCAUCAUACAGAUAAAAUUGAUGACAAAUUUAACGUUAAGAUAUCAUCAAAAUCUCAAUAACAAUUUACAGAUCGAAAUCUUAGUAUCGAUUGAUUAAUAACCUAAACUUUCGCCAUGAAGACUUGAAUCCCUAAUCCCGUCCUUCAUUUCCCAUAUCUCUACCCACACAUUAUCUUUUAAGAAAGAAGAAGUAACAACCAAAAUAAACAUUAUAUCUAAAGUGAUAAUAUGAUAACAAUACAAAUAGGCAACAAUACAAUUAAAGAAAAAAAAAAAAGUUACUCCCACGAUGUCAACACGUAUGCUAGACUGACCAAUAAAGUUAGACAAAUUUCAAAAUUGACAAUAGCAAAGUAUACGUACGUAGCAUAUAGCAACCAAUCAAUGAAUAAAUUAUUCCUAAAGUAGUCAUUAUCAUCUCAUAUACUAUAUUUGGUAAAAUACUAAGAUUAAGUCAACAUAAUUCAGUCUACCGUUUGGUAAUUUAUAACAAAUAGUGACAAUAUUAAUAAAGUGAUUGGUGCUCUCUUUUGGCCCACCCCCAAGAAGAUCGUGAACGCAUAUUUUAAAUUUGAUUUGAUUACCACUUUUUAAUAUCUUUAAAAUAAAACUUGUAUAUUUAAAAAAUUAAAAAUUAUUAUUAUUAUUUAAUUAUAUAAAUAAAAUAUUUUAAAAUACAUUAGUAUCUUAAUAGAGAAAAGAUUAAAAAAUUAAAAAUUAUUAUUAUUAUUUAAUUAUAUAAAUAAAAUAUUUUAAAAUACAUUAGUAUCUUAAUAGAGAAAAGAUUGUUUGUUUGAUUUUCUAAAGUAACAGAGUCGGAUGAGAUAGUUGAUUAAUUUGACGGUUUGAAUAAUAUAAUCUUCUUGAUAAAUAAUCAUCAACCCAUCAUGCAUGUUUUAUAUUUAUUGAUAGAAACUUUGAUGGAUUGAUUUGUUGGUGCCGCCUCAACAUAGAGAAAAGAAAAAGAACAAGUUAUUUCAAUCUAUUACACUUUAGAGAUUAAAAAAAACAUUUUUUAAAGCAGUGAUAAAAUUGAUAAUAAUAAGUUGUUAAUAUGUUUGGCAAAAAGAGUGUCGAUUAACUAUUUUUUGCUAUAGUAUUGAAAUAUCUUUAGAUUUUUUAACCCCCAAAAAAGGUUUAAAACUACCUCUGUAAAGAAAAGGAGUUUAUUUUUAGAAAAUAUAUCUCGAGAAAUAAAGUAAGAUAAAGGAUAAAAUCGUGAAAGAAAAAUGUUGAUAAGCAAACAAAAAAAUCAAAGUUAGGAAUGACCAAUUUAUUGAAUAUAACUAAAUUGUCUUAAAUAAGCAACUUAGCUUAUAAAUAUAUAUAUAAAAUUAUUUUUAUAUCAGUUUGAUCAAUUAAUAAUAAAUUGAUUAUGCAUGAAAUAAUAGGAAGUGUUCUAAUUAAAAAGAAUACAAGGAAAAAGGUGCAGUAUUGUGUACGAUCGACCAAACAUACAUUCGUUAUUAAUUAUUAUUAAGCUAAUUAGACAACGCUAUCUUAUUAAUUUAUUAUAGAGCUGUCGAUAUUAGUUUAGAUAAUUAAAUUAUAUAAAAUUCAUUUAAUUCAAUCAAAGCUUGACUUGUUAAAUGUUAGGUUUAUGAUAUGAUUAAUUAUAUAUAUAAUUCACUAUGAUUUUACGCGACUUGUUAAUCAAGACCUUAUUUAACAUAUUGAUUAAGUUAUUAGUUAUAUAACUAAUAAAAAUAUAUUUUAAAUAAUAAAUGGUUAUUGAGAGAAAACUUCCAUGCAAUUAUCAUAAUAAGAAACUUCUUAAGAAAUUGUCUCUAAUUAGAUAAUUGGAUGGUGACUCUUUUGUUUAAAAAAAAUUGAAUCAAUCAAGAUUUUAUUGCUAUUAAUUGUGAACUACAAUUUGUAGAAGGGGAGCAUAAACCUAGAUAUUAACUAUGCACAACAUGAGUGUGCAAGAUUAUUUUGUUUAUUUAUUUUGAUUCAAUUCAGUAUCCGAUAUUCAUAUUAGAUUCUCAAUCAAAUUUGUAUUUACAUUAAAAAAAUUCAGUGCUCCUUAACAGAGGCAACAACUCUGUACUCAGGAGAACUCGAAUUCGAGACCUCUAAACAAGAAUAAAGAAGUAUUUGUUAUUCCAUAACAAUUUUUAUUGAUAAAAGAAACUCGUAGUAUCAUGAAAAGAUAAUAGAUUAUCUAGGCCUAAUGGAAAAUUCAGUCAAGCUUUAGAGGGAAAAUUAUGGCAUAGCAAAGUUACAAACUUUAUAGUAUGAUUAACUUAAUUACAAGACCGUUAAAUUGAAUGCAACCCCAAUAACUUUUCUUUCAAUAAAUAUUUGGCCUUUGUGAGCUUUAUUUGAACUCUCUCUUCCUUCAUAAACUUGACCAUCAGCAAUAUUUUCCUUUCCUCUUUUAUUUUAUUGCUCACUCGAUAGUCAGCUUUUAAGAUUGACUUGAUGUUUCGAUAAGCGAAAGGUGUAAAUCCAGAUUAUGCUCAAGUAUCUAAGUGAUAUAUGAAUUGCAAACUUUUUGCAUAUGCAUUUGAGAAGAAAAUAAUUAUCACAAGAAAAUAAAUAAUUAGCAUGCGGUAAAUUAUUAACGUAGUUAAAUAAUGUUAUAGUCUUAUAAAUUAAAAUAAAGACAAGGCAACAAUUGUCACUAAUUAUUUGUAUUGUUAGCAACAAAAACUAAGAGAACAUAAAUAAUAUAUACUUAAUGGCUCAAUUUUACACCAUUUCACUAUAAAUAACUUUAUGUCGCUAAUUUGAUUACAUAUUUUUGUGACGAAACUUAUUUUGUAUCCAAACUUAAACGAAUUUAAAGAUAAAUAUGAUUUAUCAUAAAUAUUCAGUAAAAACAGGGAGAAAAUUUAUCAUCAUCAAUAUCCUCAAUUUCGUCGCUAAAAUUACCUUACAAUUUGAUUUAAUUAUAAAUUGAAAAUCAAAUUUAAAAAUGAUUAAAUUUGUGAUGUUGGUGCAAAAUGCACGUAUCAAAUUAAACCCACCUUUAGGUCUAAGAAAAUGGUGAGCACAUCUUAACCAUUAUUCUUCAACUCAUUUCAUCUCUUCCUCAAUUAAUUAUGCAAAUAAUAAAAAUAUUUCUUUUUCCAUUCAAUGUCUGUGUUUUAUAUUGAAGUUCCAAUUAACUCUAGAUUAGAAACCGGAGGCGAGGGCACAUUUAAAGGUGAUGCUUCCUAUACGACUCAUGUAGUAAAAAAAAUUAUAAAAAAAACCACCACAAUAAUUAUAUACGCUUCAAAAAAAAGAAGAGAAUAGAAUAGCAUCCUAUUCAUAGAGAAAACUAUACUUGAUAGUUAACUGGUAGCAAAACUUUUGCACAAGAUUAAUUAUAUUUGUAUAGUUGAUUUAUUCAAGGUUUUAAUUAGAAGAGGUCUAGGAUUCUAUUUAUUUUUAUCCAUAUUUUUUAAACAAUAAAUUUGCUACAAAAGGAUGUCUGUGACAAAUCAUGUCUCCUAAAUAUAAGCACUUGUGUGAAGGUUAGUUGAGUGUAAAGUUGAGGCAUCCACGCAUUUUUUUUUUCAAAGGUUCUGUAAAAAGAAAACAAGAUUUUGUAGCUCUUUGAAUCAUUCUGUCACAAACAGUAUAGUUCCCUUAAUAGUUUAUACAUUUGCUUAGGAUGAUGCCUCUAUAUAUCUAUCAAAUUAAAUAUACAAACUAAAGUCAAAAUUGAGCCAACAACAUGUCAAGACUAAAUAAACAUAUGCAUAACUCUACCAUAUUACCUACAUUUGUAUAAAUUUUGGUAAGGGUAAUUUCUAAAUGAAGUCUAUAUAAAGGGGUUUGGGUGAAGCUUAAGAGGACAAAAACUUCUCUCCUUUGUUUCAAAUAUAGGGAAAAUGGCCUCUCUAGUUGCAACUCUUUUAGUGGUUUUAGUGUCACUUAGCUUACCAUCCGAAAGUUCAGCUAAUUAUCAAUACACAUCUCCCCCACCACCAAAGGAGUCAUACCACCCUUCACCAACACCUUAUCAUCCCGUACCACUUUACAAGUCUCCACCACUGCCAACUCCAGUUUACAAUUUUCCACCACCACCCAGAGAGACGUACUACCCUCCACACACUCCAGUGUACAUGCCGUCACCACCCUCGACACAAAUUUACAAGUCGCCACCACCACCCAAGGAGCCAUAUUACCCUCCACACACCCCAACCUACAAGUCGCCACCUCCACCAACUCCUAUUUACAAGUCUCCACCGCCGCCAACUCCCUUUUACAAUUCUCCACCACCACCCAAGGAGCCAUACUACACUUCGCCACCUCCACCAACUCCUACUUACAAGUACCCACCGCCACCAACUCCGGUUUACAAUUCUCCACCACCACCUAAGGAGCCAUACUACCCUCCACACACCCCAACCUACAAGUCGCCACCUCCACCAACUCCUGCUUACAAGUCUCUACCGCCGCCAAUUCCAGUUCACAAUUCUCCACCAUCACCCAAGGAGCCAUACUACCCUCCACACACCCCAACCUACAAGUCGCCACCUCCACCAACUCCUGCUUACAAGUCUCUACCGCUGCCAAUUCCAGUUCACAAUUCUCCACCAUCACCCAAGGAGCCAUACAACCCUCCACACACCCCAACCUACAAGUCGCCACCUCCACCAACUCUUGCUUACAAGUCUCCACCGCCACCAACUCCGAUUUACAAUUCUCCACCACCACCCAAGGAGCCAUACUACCCUCCACAUACCCCAACCUACAAGUCGCCACCUCCACCAACUCCCAUUUACAAGUCGCCACCGUCACCAACUCCGGUUUACGAUUCUCCACCACCACCCAAGGAGCUAUACUACCCUCCACACACCUCAACCUACAAGUCGCCACCACCACCGAAUGAGCCAUACUACCCUCCACACACACCAACAUACAAGUCGCCACCUCCACCAAUUCCAAUCUACAAGUCACCACCUCUUCCAACUCCUAUUUACAAGUCGCCACCACCACCCAAGGAGCCAUACUACCCUCCACAUACUCCACUUUCACCGUCUUCAGUUUAUAAGUCUCCACCUCCACCAACUCAUGUUUACAAGUCGCCGCCACCACCUAUAGAGCCAUACUACCCUCCACACACCCCAAUCUAUAAGUCGCCACCUCCACCGAUUCCUGUUUACAAUUCACCACCUCCACUAACUCCAGUUUAUAAGUCACCACCACCACCCAAAGAGCCUCACUACCCUCCACACACCCCAGUGUAUAAGUCACCACCACCACCCAAGGAGCCAUACUAUUCUCCACAAAAUCCAGUCUACAAGUCGCCACCUCCACCAACUCCCAGUUACAAGUCGCCAACACCACCCAAGGAGCCAUAUUAUCCUCCACAUACCCCAACUUACAAGUCACCACCUCCACCAACUCCAGUAUACAAGUCGCCGCCACCACCCAAGGAGCCAUACUACCCUCCACACACCCCGACCUACAAGUCGCCACCACCACCGAAGGAGUCAUACUAUCCUCCACACACCCCAACCUACAAGUCACCACCUCCACCAACUCCUGUUUCCAGCUCUCCACCACCACCAACUCCAGUCUACAAGUUUCCACCACCAACAGAUUAUGUUUACACCUCUCCCCCUCCUCCCUACUAUUACUAAGAAGAGAUUUCAUUAUAUCUAAGGUAAUUAAACCAAACUAAAACUUUUAAUUAUGAUAUGUCUAUAGAAGUUGCACAAUUUCUUCGUUCGAAUAAUUAAUAUAGACCUGUAUACUGUCUACAUCUUAUUUGGUUUAGGUUCUAUUAUAUGUUCUCAUUCACAAUACUAAUUAUAUUCUUAUGCAGGAAAGAUGCAGAAUGUUGAGCUAAAAGAAAAUAAGCCCACACAGGAGGCAAAGUUUUUUUGUAGCUUCAUUUUGUAUAAGUUAUUGUUUGUACCCUAUAUUAUAUUUAUAUUUUACUUCUAUUUAUUUGUGUAAUAUGUUUGUUCGAUCUCCUUGCAACAUGCAGCCAUUAUGAGAUGUAUAAAAUAUGUUAUUACUAUAUAUACUGUCUUUUUUCUUAUUUUUGUCAUCCCUUAUAUUGAGUUAUAUUUAUAAGUUGAGCCUCUUAUCAAUUACAUUAAAUCAGUUGCUAUAAAAAAUGUGGUUUUUCACCACCAAUAAGUUCAACGAUAAGCUACAAUCAACUGGGAAUAUUAGUAGCUUCAAUAGAAAAUGUUAAUAGCUCCGUUGAUUAGUUAUUUGAACUUUUUAUCUUUAUUACACGUCGCAAUAACAAUCAAUGUAAAUAUUAUAUCUAACCUCUGGACUUAUGCCCACAUAAUUCCUCAAUGCACCCACACAAAAUAUUGAAAUUAAAUAUUAUUACUUGCCUAUUUCUCUUAUCUUGAUUAUUAGUUUUCAGGGAUGAAAGUUUAAUUGUUACACCUUUCACUUUUUUAAAAAAAAAAAAAAGGAAUGGACAACCAACUGAUUUCGUAUCUGAUUGUAGUUGUUGAAGGCAUAUUGUAAUAAUUAAAUUUUCGUUUUUGAAAAAUAAUAAUCAAAAAAUAGAAAAUAUCAAUAAAUAAUAAUAUUUAAUUUUAUUUAUUUGUGCACGAUUUAACAAUCAUUAGAGAUUUCACACUAAAAUGUUUAAUUUUUUUGUUUUUUCUUUUUUUCUCUUCAUGACUAUCAACUCAAAAGUUUUGCUUUUUACCUGAAUUGAUGGAAUACUUGUUGAAAGUUUACCACGAAUGCAUAAUCAAUUUUUAAUCACAUUCGAGGAGGCAUAAAACGACUCACAACUUGAAGGCAAAAAAGAGUUGUAUGCAGAAGACUGCAAAUCAUUAUUGAAUAUUUUUUUAUAUAGGCAUCAGCUAGGGUUUGAAAUAUUUGAUCUAAUCGACUUUAGGUUUGAGAAUAUGAGUUGUGUUGGAUUAGACUUGUAAAUUUAAUAAUGGACUAACCUAAAUUUAAUCGAAAAAUUACCUAACUACAUAUAUAUUUUUUUAUCCUAUUUUCUAUUAUUUCAUAUAAUUUAUAAAAAUUACAAAAAUCUUUUUUUUCUCUCAAAUUCGCUCCUUUCAAGAUUCAUAACUUUAAAUCUUCCAACUCACAAUUUCUCCUUUUUCUCAGGCCUAUAAUCGCUCUACUAUAUUACUAGUUACCUUCAUCUCCUAUAUUUUGAAUUUUAGAUAUUUUUCUCUCUCCCGUUUAUAAUUUAAUUGAGUAUGUAUCAUAUGUUUGUUAUGUAUGUGAAGUACUAUUUUAUAACUAAAUCAUUGUUUAUCAUAUUCAUAAGUUUUUUUUAUAUGAUACAUAGCUAUGUCAAAUUAUACCGGCAUGAUACAUAAAUACUAAUUUAUGCUACAUGUAACGAUCUCAAAUCAAACAACUUAUGAGCAACAAUUACAUGUUAAAUGUAUCCCGUAACAAUACGAUACUUAUUAAUUUAAACGAGAUAAAUAAAUAGUAAUGUAUCAUGUAUUAGUUUUUAGAUGUGAUACAUAAAUUCGAAUUUGGACUACAUGUAUUAAUUACAUAGAAACUACCACGCGGUGAUGUAUCCAUCACAAAUGUAACAUCUUAUGGGCAACAAUUACUUAUUUAAUGUAUCUACUAUAAAUACAAUACUAAUCAAUUGAGACGAGAUACACAAAUAGUAAUGUAUCAUGCAAAAAAAUUUUUUACUUGAUAUGUGAAUUCGAAUUUAUACUAAAUGUAUCAAUUACAUAGCAACUACCACAUUGUAAUGUAUCGAUCUCGAAUUCAACAUCUUAUGGACUAUAAUUAUUUAUUUAGUGUAUUUAGUAUAAAUACAAUACUUAUCAAUUUAAACAAGAUACAUAAAAGUAAAAUGCUAAGUAGACAAGAUAUUCAUGAUAAUAUUCUCAAUUUUUUUGAGAUUCUUCAAUAAACUAGGAGAAGAAUUCUGAAUCUCAAAAUUUACAACAAUUUUGAAUCAAAAUUAAAAAGAUCUUUGAUGAACUGGAGAACAAAGAAUCUUAAUCUCAAAAUUUUUAACAAUCUUGAAUCAAAACUGAAAGGAAUAUCUUUGAUGAUCUUGAAGAUUCAAAAGAAAAUUGUUUAUCCAACAACAAUUUUGUCACUUUUGUAUCAUUCAUAAUUCACUUCGCUUACCCAAAAUUUCGACAAAAGUUUUUGGAUCAAAUGUGAAAGGUUUCUUUGUUGAACGGGGGGAUCAACUAGAAAUUUUAAAUUUCUUCGUUCUGUAUGGAUUUGAUUCUGUAUGAUUGAGAGUAAAAAGAAAUAUAAGCGUAAUUUAUGGAAUUUAAUUAGUUUUCAGAUUUUAUUUUCUUUUUAGCGCAACAGAAAGAUUCUUUUUGUAUUAAAAUUAGUGUAUCUAGAUGGUGGUGACUUAUGUAUUUGUUGAAGGAAGCUGAUGGAACAGGUUUGGUAGUAUAUGACUUUUUUCCUAUAUAAGGAUGAUGUAACUCAAUCAUUCAUUCAUCAAUAUAAUCCUUGAUUCUUCACAUACAUAUCUGUGAGAAUUCUACAUCCGAAAGGUACAAAUUUUAACGGAUCAUUUUAUUAGAAAAAAAUAGAGAUAAAAUAUAAUGUAUUCUUUACAUUACGAAGUUUACGUAAGUUAAUCAAAUUUGAUUAAACUUCCCUUAAAUCAUAAAAGUUUAACUUAAUAUUAUUCCAACUUUAUUAUAGAUAUAUAUAAUUGGAAAAAAAAACAAACAAAAUAGAACAUAAGAUCUCGAUCGCUGGACAAAUGUUUGUCUAUAAUAAAUAAAUAUGUCGGUAAUAAUUAUUGACUAGGUCAAUGUAGCUAAGGUUUGUACUUGUUUAUACUUACAUCCUAUCUCUUGGGACGAUUAAAAAAAUAUUAGUUUAGCUUAUUUAAUAAUGGAAUCUUAUAUGGAGUUUACUAAUUUUAUCUUUGUCGGUGAUUAAGUUAUACAAAUGAUUAAUUAUUUUUCUAAUUAAAAAGUCAAAAGUCAUUAUUGGAUGAACCAAGAAUCUUCCAUGUAUUUGAAUACUUUUUCUGUCUCCCUUAAAUCGUGAUGGCUUUUUUGUAAGUUAAAUAAUAAAAAAUUUUAUUAAUGUUUUGUUGAUAUAAGAAAUUAUAAAAUAAGUAUUUUUGUAUAAUAUAUUUAAAUUUUUAAUUUAAAUUUAAAUUUUAAAAAUUAGUUAUAUUAACUGUUAAAAAACCGUACAACGACUAAAACGGGACGGCUUGUUCUCUUCUUUCUUUUAUUAUAAAUAAAAAUAAAAAUUUAACUAAUGUGCAAUCAAUAAUGUUAAUUAUUUAUUCAAAGUUUAAAUUAAACACAUAAAAGUGAAAAGUAUAAAGCCUUCAACCGAUUCGAUUCAUUUAAUUAUGUUUCUUAAGAUAUUCCAUAUUUUCAAAUUUUAAAGAGAACUAUAAAUUCCUACAUUUAAAACUACAUACAUUAUUAAAAUGUGCCUAUAUAACACGCAUUUAAAUUAGUUGUGCUCAAAUAUAGAUAUCAAACAAGGAAUAAAACAUAAAGUGAAUUACUUAAACUAUAAUUAUAUAUUAAGUAAUUAAAUCAAAUCGUGUAAUUUAAUUAAUUAUACUACCAAAAUAUUAACUUCAACGAUAUGAAGUAACGCAAUGUACCUUUAAAGUUUCACAAAAUUUAAUUAGGUUGUAAGGUUUGAUUCUUGAAAUUUAGAAAUUAUUUUCAAGUGAUUUGAGUACAUUGAAAGUACCUAAGUCAAUAAAGUCAAAAAUAAAUUAAUUUUUACUUUGUAUCGUGACCUGUAUUCUACAUCUUGUGUGUUCCCACGAUAAUAAACUAAGAUACCAAAAAUUUCAUAGAUAUUAUAUUUAAUCAUAUAAAUUUUUUCAAUAUUGAGCUACAUAAUCCGUUGAAUUUUUUGCCCUCUAUUCCCACCUAAAACUAAAAAGAAAGAACAACAUUAAUUGCUUUAUUUAGUAAUGAAAGUGGGUCAUUAUAUAUAUAUAUAUAUAUAUAUAUAUAUAUAUAUAUAUAUAUAUAUAUAUAUAUAUAUAUAUAUUAUUUUAUUUUAUUUUAUUUUAUUUUUUUGACAACUAGGGAAACCUGAGCCGCUAUCCUAUAAAAUAGCUCGCAAAUCACAUAGGAGAGGUAACCUGCACUAGGCAAGCCUGGUGCAACGAGCUUGACCCAGAAGGCAAAUCUCUUGCUUUCGCUGGCAAGGGGUUUCAAACUUGAGACCUCCAAUAUGGAAGUUUCAAGCUCAAACCAUUGGGCCACCCCGAAGGGUUAUAUAUAUAUAACUUUUAGUAAUAUUAGAUAUUGACAUUAAUAAAGAGUGUUAAAGUCUUUAUCGGUAUCAGUUAAGUGUCAUUAGAACCAAUGUUGCUAAAGGCUUUAGGGACACAUACAAAGAAAGUUAUUGCCGCUAAAAACACUUAUUUGGCGACGUUUGAAAAUUAAUUGCCAAUAAUGAUUAUUUUUAAUAUAGUGUAUAUAUGUAUUAUUGUUUUAAAUCUCUAUACUAUUUAAGCACUAAAGGUAAUUAAAGGUUAGUUUAUCAAUCAAAAUCAAAAAAAAAUAAAUUGUUACUCCCUUAGUUCGUUUCAUAGUAGUUGAUCAUCUUACUAAAAAUAAUUGUUACACAUUAAUUGUCCAUCUUAUUAAAUCAAGAAAUCAAUAAUUAAUUUUUUCCUAUAUUAUCUAUUCAGAUAAUUCUUUUGAAAGUAUUAACAUUUGUUUGUAAAAUGUAAAAGAAGUUUUCAAGGGGUGAAUUAAUAAAAUUAUCUAGCUAGUUAAUAAAAAUGAUGGGUGAAAUAAUAUUAUCUAGCUACUUAAUAAAAAUAAUCAACUAAUAUGAGACACAUAAAAAUAGAAUUCUUCAAAUAUUUUGUAACAAAAAAAAAAAGAAAAAAGGCAGUGUACACUGAUUUUUGUAACUAAAAAUCGUGCGAAGUUGAGGGAUGCACGCAUUUUUUUCAAAGAUUUUGUAUGUAUGUAAUGUAAAAGCUUGGAAGAAAAAGAAGACUUUGUAGCUCUUUGAAUUAUUGCAUCACAAGAUGUAAAGAAAAUUGUAUGGUUGUCUUAAUAGUUUAUACAUUUUUGCUUAGCUUGCACCCUCUAUCCAAUAAAUAAAGUCAAAUUGAGCCAACAACAUGACAAAACCAAUUAUAAAAAUGAAUAAAAACUUUACCUACAUUUAUGUAAAUCUUGGUAAGGGUAAUUGUCGAAAUGAAAGCUAUAUAAAGGGGUUUGAGUGAAACUUAAAGAGGACACCAACUUCUCUUCUUUGGUUUCAAAUAUGGGGAAAAUGGCCUCUCUAGUUGCUACUCUUUUAGUGGUUUUAGUGUCACUUAGCUUUGCUUCCGAAAGCUCAGCAAACUAUCAAUACUCAUCUCCUCCACCACCAAAGAAGCCAUACCACCCUUCACCAACACCUUAUCAUCUCGCACCAGUUUACAGAUCACCACCACCACCAACUCCACUUUACAAGUCACCACCACCACCUAAGGAGCCACACUAUCCUCCACACACCCCGGUUUACAAGUCGCCACCUCCUCCAGCUCCAAUUUACAAGUCACCACCACCACCGGUGAAGCCAUACCAUCCAGCACCAGUUUAUAAGUCACCACCACCCCCUACGCCUGUUUACAAGUCACCACCACCACCAGUGAAGCCACACCAUCCUGCACCAGUAUACAAGUCUCCACCACCACCAACUCCAGUUUAUAAGUCACCACCUCCUCCAACACCCGUUUACAAGUCACCACCACCACCAGUGAAGCCAUACCAUCCUGCACCAGUAUACAAGUCACCACCACCUCCAACACCCAUUUACAAGUCACCACCACCACCAGUGAAGCCAUACCAUCCUGCACCAGUAUACAAGUCACCACCACCUCCAACACCCGUUUACAUGUCACCACCACCACCAGUGAAGCCAUACCAUCCUGCACCAGUAUACAAGUCACCACCACCUCUAACACCCGUUUACAAGUCACCACCACCACCAGUGAAGCCAUACCAUCCUGCACCAGUAUACAAAUCUCCACCACCACCAACUCCAAUUUACAAGUCACCUCCACCACCAGUGAAGCCAUACCAUCCUGCACCAGUAUACAAGUCUCCACCACCACCAACUCCAGUUUAUAAGUCACCACCACCACCGGUGAAGCCAUACCAUCCUACACCUGUGUACAAGUCUCCACCACCACCAACUCCUGUUUACAUGUCCCCACCACCACCAGUGAAGCCAUACCAUCCUACACCUGUGUACAAUUCUCCACCACCACCAACUCCCGUUUACAUGUCCCCACCACCACCAGUGAAGCCAUAUCAUCCUACACCUGUGUACAAAUCUCCACCACCACCAACUCUCGUUUACAAAUCACCACCACCACCCGUGAAGCCAUACCAUCCUUCACCAACACCACACCAUCCUACACCAGUAUACAAGUC
rnacentral:lncRNA from 1 species